UACGUAGGUGGCAAGCGUUGUCCGGAAUUAUUGGGCGUAAAGCGCGCGCAGGCGGCCUUUUAAGUCUGAUGUGAAAGCCCACGGCUCAACCGUGGAAGGUCAUUGGAAACUGAAAGGCUUGAGUACAGAAGAGGAAAGCGGAAUUCCACGUGUAGCGGUGAAAUGCGUAGAUAUCUGGAGGAACACCGGUGGCGAAGGCGGCAUCCUGGACCGGCAUUGACGCUGAGGCGCGAAGGUCAGGGGAGCAAACAGG
rnacentral:rRNA from 1 species